rnacentral:rRNA from 1 species
ACGGGAGGCAGCAGUAGGGAAUAUUGCACAAUGGGGGAAACCCUGAUGCAGCAACGCCACGUGUGGGAAGAAGCAUUUCGGUGUGUAAACCACUGUCGUGAGGGAAUAAUGCUUAAUUUCGGUUAAGUUGAGUGUACCUCGAAAGGAAGCACCGGCAAACUUCGUGCCAGCAGCCGCGGUAAUACGAGGGGUGCAAGCGUUGUUCGGAAUCACUGGGCGUAAAGGGAGCGCAGGCGGAGAUGCAAGCAAUCUGUACAAUACCGGGGCCCAACCCCGGACCUGCAGAUUGGACUGUGUUUCUUGGAUAGUUCAGGGGCAGGCGGAAUUCCUGGUGUAGCGGUGGAAUGCGUAGAGAUCAGGAAGAACACCGAUGGCGAAGGCAGCCUGCUGGGGACUUAUCGACGCUGAGGCUCGAAAGUGCGGGUAGCAAACAGGAUUAGAUACCCUGGUA